rnacentral:rRNA from 1 species
CUACGGGGUGCUCCAGUUAGGAAUAAUCUACAAUGCGCGAAAGCGUGAUAGUUUGAGCCAGAGUGUUUUUCAAUUGAAAGACUUUUGUGAAAUGUAAAAAGUUUCACGACUAAGGACUGGGUAAGACUAGUGCCAGCCGCCGCGGUAAUACUAGCGGUCCAAGUCGCAACCAUUUUUAUUGGGUCUAAAACAUCCGUAGCCUGCUUGACAAGUCUUCUGUGAAAUUUUACGUCUAAAACGUAGAGCGCGCAGAAGGUACUAUCAAGCUAGAGACCGGAAGACGUAAGAAGUACAUUCAGAGUAGCGGUUACAUGUGUUAAUCCUGGAUGGACUAACAAGAGCGAAGGCAUCUUACGAGGACGGUUCUGACAGUAAGGGAUGAAAGCUAGGGGCGCAAAUGGGAUUAGAUACCCUAGUAGUC